GGGAAAAGCUCAAAUUUAAAAUCUGGCAGUUUUUAAUUGUCCGAGUUGUAAUUUGUAGAAGAUGCUUUGGGUGUGGCUCCGGUCUAAGUUCCUUGGAACAGGACGUCAUAGAGGGUGAGAAUCCCGUACGUGACUGGGUGCCUUCGCUCGUGUAAAGCUCUUUCGAC
rnacentral:rRNA from 1 species